GGGCACAUGGUGUAGUUGGUUUAUCACGCCCGCUUAGCAUGCUUGAGCGAUUUCCAGUAUUGUGCAAUGCGGGAGGUGUUGGGUUCAAUUCCCAAUGUGUCCA